GGAUGUGAGGGCGAUCUGGUUGCGACAUCUGUCACCCCAUUGAUCGCCAGGGUUGAUUCGGCUGAUCUGGCUGGCUAGGCGGGUGCCCCCUUCCUCCCUCACCGCUCCAUGUGCGUCCCUCCCGAAGCUGCGCGCUCGGUCGAAGAGGACGACCAUCCCCGAUAGAGGAGGACUGGUCUUCGGUCAAGGGUAUACGAGUAGCUGCGCUCCCCUGCUAGAACCUCCAAACAAGCUCUCAAGGUCCAUUUGUAGGGGAACGUAGGGUAGUCAAGCUUCCAAG
rnacentral:snRNA from 1 species